rnacentral:rRNA from 1 species
ACGGAAGGCAGCAGUAAGGAAUCUUGCACAAUGGGGGAAACCCUGAUGCAGCAACGCCGCGUGAGUGAUGAAGGCCUUCGGGUUGUAAAACUCUGAUCUGGGGGAAGAAACAAAUGACGGUACCCCAGGAGAAAGCCCCGGCUAACUACGUGCCAGCAGCCGCGGUAAUACGUAGGGGGCAAGCGUUAUCCGGAAUUAUUGGGCGUAAAGAGUGCGUAGGUGGUUACCUAAGCGCAAGGUUUAAUCUUGAGGCUUAACCUCAUUCUGCCUUUCGAACUGCCAGACUUGAGUGCAGGAGGGGAAAGUGGAAUUCCUAGUGUAGCGGUGAAAUGCGUAGAUAUUAGGAGGAACACCGGUGGCGAAGGCGACUUUCUGGACUGUAACUGACACUGAGGUACGAAAGCGUGGGGAGCAAACAGGAUUAGAUACCCUGGUA